GGUUCAAUCCCCGGGAGGGGCACUAAGAUCCUGCAUGCAAUGUAGUGAGGCCAAAAAAAGAAAAACCAAAAAGGGAGAGCAUAGUAUCCCAGGAUCAGCAAAGGCAGGAGACAGACCACUCAGAGGCCUGAGAGUCAGGGGAGGGAACAGCUACUCAACCCCAGAGCUGCAGUCAAUCUGGACUGAGUCUGAGGAGAAUACCCCCACCUCCUCCUCUUCCUUCACCCUCCCUCCUACCAACGUCUCCCACUGAUCAAACCUAAUGGGAAGCCAGAAGACAAAAGCUUGUUGAUGCAGUGAAGACAGGACAGCCUCCUAAACUAGGCUUGGCCACUUUAAUAAAAAUACAGGAGCCCAGAUAUGUUUAAAUUUCAAAUAAACAAGAAAUACCUUUCUACUACAAGGUACAGCACAGGAUAAAGAAGAGUGAUGAUGCCAAGUCCAGCUGCUUUGACCGCUGAAUGGGUCACUGCAGCCUUAUCACUCACCUUGUCUGGUCCAAGGAUUGGCAACUUCAUCAUGUCCAGUUCUGGUGACUAUGAGAUCCUUUACUGAGAUGGCUGGAGGCUGUAAGCUGACAAGGGAUCACUAUGAGAGCUGAGACCAGGAGAGGGCCACCAACACCUACAUGCUGGGCUGCCAUGGCUUUGGCGUGUGGCCAGAUGGCUCAGAUAGAACCAACAACUCCCUGAGCAGCUUCCACAACCAGCGUGGAGGCUGUGGACAACUACUUCUGCAAAGUGCACCACUUCCAGUACACUUGUGCAUGCACCAAGGCACCGAGCCUCGUGGGUCAUAGUCAUGGCAGCCACGUGACAAGCGUGCAGUUCACGCACGAUGACUUGCACCUGCUCAUGCUGGGCACACCUGGGCGGCAAGGGCACCAGCAGCUUCCAGUAGGGGAUGCUGAGCGCUAGAGGCCCGGCGUCUGCCACACCCUCUCGAACCCCCUCGAUGUCCCCAGUUUCCUCUCUGGAAAUCAAACCACUGCAGGGUGGCCCCGCCCUCCCCAAGUCCCUGGAGAGUGCGAACACACACACACACACACACACACACACACACACACACACACACACACGCACACUGUGUGUGUU
ensembl:lncRNA